CGAGGAACCUUACCUGGAUUUAAAUGGGGAGUGACAGGCUUAGAGAUAGGCUUUUCUUCGGACACUUCUUCAAGGUGCUGCAUGGUUGUCGUCAGCUCGUGCCGUGAGGUGUCGGGUUAAGUCCCAUAACGAGCGCAACCCACGUUGUUAGUUACCAGCAUGUAGUGAUGGGGACUCUAACAAGACUGCCGGUGUAAACCGCGAGGAAGGUGUGGAUGACGUCAAAUCAGCACGGCCCUUACAUCCAGGGCUACACACGUGUUACAAUGGCCGGUACAGAGGGCAGCUACCCCGCGAGGGGAUGCGAAUCCUAUAAAACCGGUCUCAGUUCGGAUUGGAGUCUGCAACCCGACUCCAUGAAGCUGGAUUCGCUAGUAAUCGCGCAUCAGCCAUGGCGCGGUGAAUACGUUCCCGGGCCUU
rnacentral:rRNA from 1 species